rnacentral:rRNA from 1 species
GACGAACGCUGGCGGCAGGCUUAACACAUGCAAGUCGAACGCAUCCUUCGGGGUGAGUGGCAGACGGGUGAGUAACGCGUGGGAACGUGCCCUUCAGUUCGGGAUAACCCAGGGAAACUUGGGCUAAUACCGGAUACGUGCGAGAGCAGAAAGAUUUAUCGCUGAAGGACCGGCCCGCGUCUGAUUAGCUAGUUGGUGGGGGAAUGGCCCACCAAGGCGACGAUCAGUAGCUGGUCUGAGAGGAUGAGCAGCCACAUUGGGACUGAGACACGGCCCAAACUCCUACGGUAGGCAGCAGUGGGGAAUAUUGGACAAUGGGCGCAAGCCUGAUCCAGCCAUGCCGCGUGAGUGAUGAAGGCCUUAGGGUUGUAAAGCUCUUUCGUCCGGGACGAUAAUGACGGUACCGGAAGAAGAAGCCCCGGCUAACUUCGUGCCAGCCGCCGCAGUAA